ACUCAAAUGAAUUGACGGGGACCCGCACAAGCGGUGGAGGAUGCGGUUUAAUUCGAAGCUACGCGAAGAACCUUACCGAGGCUUGACAUCCCAGGAAGUCAGUCGAAAGACAGAUGUGCCUUCGGGAACCUGGUGACAGGUGCUGCAUGGCCGUCGUCAGCUCGUGUCGUGAGAUGUUGGGUUAAGUCCCGCAACGAGCGCAACCCUUGUCGUCUGUUGUCUUUUCAGGCGAGACUGCCCGGGCCAACCGGGAGGAAGGUGGGGAUGACGUCUGGUCAGCAUGGCCCUUACGCCUCGGGCAACACGCGUCCUACAAUGGAUAGUACAAUGAGCCGCCAAACCGUAAGGUGGAGCAAAUCUCAUCAAAACUAUCCCCAGUUCGGAUAGAGGGCUGAAACUCGCCCUCUUGAAGUCGGAAUCGCUAGUAAUGGCGCGUCAGCAUAGCGCCGUGAAUACGUUCCCGGGUCUUGUACACACCGCCCGU
rnacentral:rRNA from 1 species